rnacentral:misc_RNA from 1 species
GAAAUGCGAUAAGUAAUGUGAAUUGCAGAAUUCAGUGAAUCAUCGAAUCUUUGAACGCACAUUGCGCCCCUUGGUAUUCCGAGGGGCAUGCCUGUUCGAGCGUCAUUACACCACUCAAGCUAUGCUUGGUAUUGGGCGUCGUCCUUAGUUGGGCGCGCCUUAAAGACCUCGGCGAGGCCACUCCGGCUUUAGGCGUAGUAGAAUUUAUUCGAACGUCUGUCAAAGGAGAGGAACUCUGCCGAUUGAAACCUUUAUUUUUCUAGGUUGACCUCGGAUCAGGUAGGGAUACCCGCUGAACUUAA